rnacentral:rRNA from 1 species
GACGAACGCUGGCGGCGUGCCUAAUACAUGCAAGUCGAGCGGAAUGAUGAAGAAGCUUGCUUCUUCUGAUUUUAGCGGCGGACGGGUGAGUAACACGUGGGCAACCUACCUUGUAGAUUGGGAUAACUCCGGGAAACCGGGGCGUAAUACCGAAUAAUCCAUUUUGCUUCAUGGCGAGAUGUUGAAAGACGGUUUCGGCUGUCACUACAAGAUGGGCCCGCGGCGCAUUAGCUAGUUGGUAGGGUAAUGGCCUACCAAGGCGACGAUGCGUAGCCGACCUGAGAGGGUGAUCGGCCACACUGGGACUGAGACACGGCCCAGACUCCUACGGGAGGCAGCAGUAGGGAAUCUUCCGCAAUGGACGAAAGUCUGACGGAGCAACGCCGCGUGAACGAUGAAGGCCUUCGGGUCGUAAAGUUCUGUUGUUAGGGAAGAACAAGUACGAGAGUAACUGCUCGUACCUUGACGGUACCUUAUUAGAAAGCCACGGCUAACUACGUG